GUACUACACUAGGGGAGCUAGAACGGCUAGCUGAGAAAAAGACCUUUAUCUUUAACCCUUUAAACCUGAUCUGGAUAAAACCAGCGUAGGAAAGUGUGUCUAUUUUCAA
rnacentral:ncRNA from 2 species